CAAUCGGCCCUUCUCAGGGCCACACACACACACACACACCUUGUAU
rfam:Trachymyrmex cornetzi contig16663, whole genome shotgun sequence.